GAUGAACGCUGGCGGCGUGCCUAAUACAUGCAAGUCGAGCGAACAGAUAAGGAGCUUGCUCCUCUGACGUUAGCGGCGGACGGGUGAGUAACACGUGGAUAACCUACCUAUAAGACUGGGAUAACUUCGGGAAACCGGAGCUAAUACCGGAUAACAUUUUGAACCGCAUGGUUCAAUAGUGAAAGGCGGCCUUGCUGUCACUUAUAGAUGGAUCCGCGCCGUAUUAGCUAGUUGGUAAGGUAACGGCUUACCAAGGCAACGAUACGUAGCCGACCUGAGAGGGUGAUCGGCCACACUGGAACUGAGACACGGUCCAGACUCCUACGGGAGGCAGCAGUAGGGAAUCUUCCGCAAUGGGCGAAAGCCUGACGGAGCAACGCCGCGUGAGUGAUGAAGGUCUUCGGAUCGUAAAACUCUGUUAUCAGGGAAGAACAUAUGUGUAAGUAACUGUGCACAUCUUGACGGUACCUGAUCAGAAAGCCACGGCUAACUACGUG
rnacentral:rRNA from 1 species